rnacentral:tRNA from 1 species
GAGGGUAUGUAGAGUGCAUGCCUAGCAUGCAUGAGAUCCUGGGUUCAAUCCCCAGUACCUCCA